UGGUGAAGGAGCUAAGUAAAUGGGCUCUGGGAUCACACCACCUGGGUCCAUUUUGAGCUCUGCCUGUUAGGUCGGGGUAGGUUCAACCCCUGUAGCACAAACACCAGAUGCAUCCUGGGAAAUACUGUUCUCUUUAAAACUGCAGGAGUGGCCCCCGUUGAGAUGGAGGUUGAACAAGCAUUUCCCUAGAGUCCUGUGGUCCAUAGCAUUGUCUGCUAAGAUGCUGGGCUGUCCUGGAGCUGCGGCUGGAGUCAGGUUCAAAUGCAGCACCCGGCAGCACACUACACAGAGACGGUGUCUCACUCUGUCAGCCCAGGCUGGAGUGAAGUGGCGCAAUCUUGGCUCACUGCAGCCUCCGUCUCCUGAAUUCAAGCAAUUCUCCUGCCUCAGCCUCCCAAGAAGCUCAGAUUACAG